rnacentral:miRNA from 17 species
CUGAGAGAAGGUUGUUUACUUU